AGAUGUUCUCGUGUGGUAACAUCGCCCUCUGCUGUCCACAUCCGCUCACUACACACACAGGGACGAACCUGCGUUGAAUUUUACUAAUUAGCUCACCUGCCGCAGCUCGCCUGCCAAGUGUUUUUCUUAACCAUGUGCGUUCCCAUAAACCAACCGUGUGUACUGUUUUGUUGAGGUGUGUUGGUUAAAGACUUUUCGAAGUAAAGAGGAGCAUCUCAUCUGAACCUGAUGUCUAUCUUGGAUAUUUCACUGCAGUUCUGUGAGUAUCCCAACUUAACCAUGAAGAUGAACUGCAAACUGUAAGUCAUUAGUUUCUCAUUACUCUUGGGCACAUUGAUGUAUUUUGGCUUCCUGGUGAGUUAACCCAUUACCUGAAGGUUGACCUGUGUAGGACAUGGUUUCUCAACAGGGGCGUUCGCAAAUCUAGGGGGGCGCUGGGAACGUGAUUCCAUUUUUUUUUUUUGGGUGAAAAAAUAGGCUACCUGAAAUAAAUAGCCUAUUUUCAGUUAUUGGUUUCUAACCCCUCUACCGUCUCAGCUACUUUUUACUGUCUAUGCGCAGUGGAACAGUGAUAAUACAGGACGGUUCGGCCCUGCACACGCCCGUUACAUCAGCUAUCGUCAUGAUCUCAAUAGUAACGCUGAUAAACAUAACCCAAGUUUGCGGGUUAACAGUUCAAUAACCAACACAAUCAAACAUGGCAGUUCCAGCUGCUCUGAGCGUAGUCUCCACGAAAAGGCCGUUGCAUUUCAAAUACAAAAUAUAUAGGGCUUAUUAGGCCUCUGCGUGCGGGCCACAGUGUACCGUCUAUUUAGGGCCAGAUAACCCUGCAUUUUGCUCUGUGUGUGUGUUUUAGUGUUCCAAUGGGUGAGGCAGGUUUGUUUCUGAUGUUUUAUAAUUUGGUUGAGUCUAAUCGGUAUGUGCUCCGACUGGUCCUGUGUCUGAGCAGAGGGGGAACCUGUCUGUGGACAGAGCCUCAGGACCAGCUGAGUGAGGGGACUCCUGUUCAUCUCUUGGCUUUGCAGGGCUUUGUGAGGGAAGGAGUGGGGGUUCACUUUGUUUUAGAUGUAGUCAAUAUUUAAUUGAUCGUUUUUGGAUUUUUAAUAGAAGUGGAUACUGGCCUAAUUCAGCUCUGCAGGCGUUGUUAGUGGUUGUCCUAUGUACCUGCAGAAUGCUUUUACAAAAUUCAGUGUUCGCAAUUUCAAUUGAAUGCUUUUCCCAUUGGUCAAAACAGUUUACUAUUUUAUGUGUUCCUAUUGUGAAGUGCAAUGUGUUUCCCAGACAUCUGGUUCUUUUCUGGUCUCGCUUUCGCUCUCUCUCGCUCUCGCUCUCUCUCUGUGUGUGUGUCAUGAAAAACGAUGCAUUGACAACUUCAAGCAAUAUAACGUGAGUGGGGUUGUUCGUUUAUUUUCUUAUUGGCGGGGGGCGCCAGAGGGUCAGGGGGGCGUUUGCUCAAAAAAGGUUUAGAACCACUGGUGUAGGAUGUUUUAUUGGUUCAUGCUUAGGCAAUGCUCAUUACUUAGGCGUUUGGUUUUAAUGGUUUGUUAAAAUGGUUUCAGGUUCUAAGUUAUUGUUGUAAGCUGGAGUAAUGGGUUGUGUUCUGAUGUCUUCAGUCUUCUUUCCAGCUACUCUCCUGAGCUCUGCAUCUUAAUUACAUGAGUGUUGCUUUACUGAUGAGGGUGUGGUCUGAGUGAGUGGAGGUGCAUACUGGGAUACAGAGCUGUCUCAAGUCUACAGGUCUGUAGACACGCCCCCUCAGGGGAUACCGAGUGUUUGAGAAACCGUUGUGACGUCCGUUACAUGAACUAGAAUGUUCUUUAAGAUGGAGACAGGGAUUCAGUAGGAGAAACGCCAGGGGGAGAAGAGGGGGCUCCUCAUCUCAACGACUAAAACACAACUUCAGUCUGACACAGAACCAUGGAACACAUUAAACAGUCCCCUCCAGGCAUCGUGACUCCUCAGGAACAGUUUCAUUUCCAAGAAGGUCUUAUUUGGGGCCAUCCCCAGAUGGAUCCUGCUCCUCAAGAGCCAACCCCCUCCACUGGGUGGUCUUCUGAACAGAUGACCUCCGUCCUGUCCUCAGGCUGACUAAAGCUGCACCGUUUGCAUCUGUGAAGGCCCCUCAUUCAGGAAACUACUGGACUACAAACGCAUGACUUCAGAGACGUUGAAUCAACCUGGGACACAUUUUGGAGACGGCAAGCAAUAUCCAUCAUCAAUGUGGGACGCCACUGAAGAAUAAUUUACGUCUCUGGAGACAUUGGUUGUUCUUUUCUGGGUGCCCUGGCAGGAGAGCUAGGGGUGGAUGAUGGAAUGAUAUUUGGCAUGAGGUUACCCUGGUUACCCUGCAUGAUUGUUUUGACUUUCAUGGCUCAGUGGUGUGUGUUGGUUUGACAUGAGAUGGAUGUUUUUUGAGCAUUGCUAAGUGCUGUGUGUGUGUUUGUCUCCCACUCACACCUGGCUUGGGGUUCUACGUGUGUGUGUCCUGGGUUCUAUGAGUGUGUUUCCGGCUUGCUUUGACAGUGAUAAUGUUCAUACGGGGGUCUGUGUGAUUGGCUUGGGAUAUUGGAAUGGUCAAAUAAAUCACACCUGAUGGACGGCCACACGUUUACUUGAGGCCUCCAGUAGACAUGAAGAGCCCGGAGCAACGAUAUCCAACACACUGUGCGGGAAGGAGAGUAUCCAAAUCAAGUGUAAAAGGGUGCAAGCGGCAUGUUCAGAUCAGUGAAUUCAAAAUAGGACUACACCAAUCAGGAUCAAUGGAGGAAGGACACCUAAAGGCAUUCCACAAGGAGAGUCUGAUGUUGGAAAGGGACCUCAAUGGAUAUUCAAGAUGACCUUCAGACCUGUAAUGAGACGGCUCUUCCUACCUGGCUGGAUUGAUGGAGAGCCCUGUGGAUCUUGUCUUGCUCACAGUUGCACGUCUUCUCAGGCUGAACUGUAUUUGUUUCGGACUGGACAAGCUGAACGAUUGGUUCCCUUAAAUCAGAACCAAUCUGGGCACUCCAACUAGUGCACUCUUCGAGCUGAAGUUGUGCUCUUCAGCUGAGGAGUUAAGGAAACCUUCACUGGGGCUUCAAGGUGUGAGGAGGAGACUGUUUCAAAGUGUUCCAUGGUACUCUGAAGGCCGUUGUUGUGUUCCACUGGCUGGGAGGAAGAACCCUCACAUCUUCCUCUUGGCCUUUCUCCUCUGAGAAUCCUGGCGCCAUCUUGAAGGAUAUUCCAGCGCAUGUAACUUAUGUCGCGACAGAUUCUCAAACACUUGGUUUCUCCUGAGGGGCUUGUCUAUAGAACUGAAGACUUCAGACAGCACUGUAUCCCAGCAUGCAUCUCUGCUCACUCAGACCACACCCUCAUGAGUAGGAUGCAACACUCUAGCAAUGGAGAUGUAGAGUUUUAUAAGUAAUGAGGGAGCAGACAAAGGUGAUUAGAACACAAUGGCAUGUCGAGUCUGUAAAUCUUUCAACCAUGAAGCUGGUUGGAUAGUUCAGGAAUUGGGCUUUAUUUUAUUAUGGGCAGUCCUUUCGCUCAAAUGCCCACUUCUCGCUGGACCUGUACAUGUGUUGGCUAGCUUGCAUGAUUUGCUGUUGGUGAUGAGUCGGUCAGGGUGACGUUGCAGGGCUAUGGUUGGCUCUCUGGGAGCUCAACGUUUAGAUUUGCUCUGUAUGGUUUGUACCCUGAAUAAUCUAGAUAAUUGUAAAAUGUAGACACGGUUUUGUAUUGAAUGAUUCCAUUGUUUUUAGGCAAGGAAUUGUUGUUGUGGGAUGUACCUGGUAGUUUGGUUCUUCGUACGGUUUUGAUUGAUAUAACGUGUACACGCUAGGUGCAUAAUAAUGUAAAGGUACACUGAAUAGUAGUUAUGACCAACAGCAACAAACAGAUCUCCUCAAGGUAAGUCUGUUGGCUGUGUUUUAAUGAAGACCAUCGCUGGACUUCAGGAUCUUCCUCCGUUCAGCUCAAGGUGAGGCGCUGGUUCUGUUUUUUCUUUGGUUGGUUCCGGCCGGAAUGUUCGGAUUCCAGUCGGACGGUUUGUGCUUCCCGCCGUGGAAGGUUUUGAGUGCGGUCACUUGAUUUAGUCCCAAUGAUUAGCAUAAAACGUUGUAGUCUUGACAACCAUUAGAAGCCACCUGGCAGUUAGUUGGACAGGAAUCUGGCUGAACGUUCUGGAUUGUAUUUGCGUAAACUCGAGCCGUUGCCAACGGAAACUAUUUUUCAGUUUCCAUUGGGAAUUGUGGCCCCUUAUUUUAAACAACUUAAGUUUGAUAUCAAAUACAUACUGACACGUACAUCGUACAAUAUGUUGAUAAUUUCCGAUGGUUGCGCCGUAGGCUACUUUUAAUCACGUUGACGGGACUCUCGCGGCGUACCGAACAGCGUUCUACUUGCGGGCCCAUUUCUGACCAUCGGUGAAGGCUGAAAAUCAUUUCAAGGUGGAAGACAAUUUGACAUUUCUUCAACGGAACCCAUCAACUGAAUAUGGCUGAGUAAAUUUGAUUUAAUAUCAAUAAUGCUUAGUGUUCUUUGUUACUUCAGCUUUUGUACGUUCUAAAUAUCUGCUGUCAUUAAUUGCCACAGAAGUUAAACCCUACCAAAUGGAAUGACGUUAAAAAACGACUUUGGUGCAGAGUUACCAACUGGAUAAUAUCAAAGCUAAAAUAAUGGCCGUCCUUCCCACAUGUUACAGUAGAAGAUGCUCUAGAACUGUACAAGGUUAAAAAGGUAACAUGUAGUUUGUCCCAAGGUGUCCACCUCCUCACCCAGAGCAAGACCUCCACCUCCUCACCCAGAGCCAGACCUCCACCUCCUGUCACAAGUCUUCCAGAACAUCUGCUGUAGCUGAAAGGUGAGGCUGAGAGGCUGGGGAGCGGAGGCUUGUGGUGCUAGGAUGGACCGGAGACUGAGGCUGGAGACCAGGAGCCUGCAGCACCGGACCAGAGGACCAGGAAUCCAUGGCUGUAGGAGCUGAUGGAGGAGCCGUGCUGAAGGCCCUGCCUGGUGGAUGAGCUGACGGAGGCCCUGCCUGGUGGAGGAUGUCUGUCGUGGGACCAGGACUCUGUCUGAGGAGAGCUGAUGGAGGAGCUGAGACGCUGGAGGACGACUAGGAAUCAACCAACAAGGAUUCCUCAACCCUUUCAGGAGUGGAAGCAAGCUGGUAGGGGAGCCGUGAAUCUGGAGGAUGACCAUCACUCUACCAACAAGGAUUACGUUGGGGCCAGACUUGCGCUGUUUGUUCCAGACCAGGACUCUGGCUGAGGAGAGCUGAUGGAGGAGCCAAGACUCUGGAGGACGACAUCACUCUACCAACAAAGAUCCUCAGACAAAUUACAUUUGUAACCAGACCAGGAAUCUGGAGGACUGACGGAGAAGCCGUACAUCCGGAAGGCAAAUCAUGAGGACAACCAGGACUCUUCCAUCAAGGAUUCCUCACACACCUGAGCUGAACCUCACCUGAUCCUGUUUGGUCGGGGGAAGACGCACCUGAGCUGAACCCACCCUGAUCCUGACAUCCUGCUGGUCCCGUCUCCUCAGUUCAUCUGAGCCUCGUCCUCCAGAAGACCUGCUGAGCUCAGCGGUCUGAGGCUGAUGGAUCAAUGACCUCCAGUGGGAGUGAUCUUCUUGACCCCACAUGUAGCCGUGUGCUUCCACACGCCUUUCCCUCACGUCUGUCACUAACCUCAUUACUUCACUACUCUCUACUCCUUCCCCUUCUUCUUCCUUCUCCGUGGUUCGAACCUUUACUCUGAAGGAGUGCCUUCUUGAACGUUUACACUGAAGGAGCGUCUUCCUGCCCUCAGAGGGUUCAGCGUUAGGGUUGAGAGUCAGGGUUUAGAGUCAGGGACAGAGCUGGAUAGGGAGGGCUGGUUUUACACAAACCUCUUCACUUGCUUUCUGAAUGGUGACAUUUUGAAUAGAAUCAUCUGGGAAAAUGUUUUCCCCUGCUUUCCUUUAUAAAAAUAUGUAUUAAACUUCUGUCAAGUGUUUUUGUUUAUAUAUUAAAAUCCCACAUUGACUUCUGCAUAUUUGGUGCUGUUCAUUUAAUUGUCCUUUAACUUGGUUAAUAUCAAGCUAAAUUAAAUGUAUUGCUAAAUGCAAUACAUUUAAUAUACAUGAAUGUUAUUCAGCAAUGUUCACAUAAUCCAUUUUGUAAAAAUACGAAACCUCCAUAUUACUACUAAAUUCAAGCCUAGUCAUGUAUUUAACAAUGUACAUACUGCCCCACAGGCCAUUCUCUGCUACUACAACACGUUCAAUCCACCAACCCGUCUCGCAUCAAUGUACUAUAGCUACGUUGGUUCAAACGGAAAAUGUAGUUUGGUGUGAGACUGUCCAGCAGAGGGAGCUGUCAUACACCUUAAUUAAUUAUACAGGAAUGUGUGUAUUUACUUUUUAAAAUGUGAAUGUGCUGGUCUAGUUUGUCUGCAAACACUCUGCCUCCAGCAACAGGAUUGGUCGAAACAUGAAGUGAAAGAAAUAAAAUCC
ensembl:lncRNA